rnacentral:rRNA from 1 species
ACCCGCUGAACUUAAGCAUAUCAAUAAGCGGAGGAAAAGAAACCAACAGGGAUUGCCUCAGUAACGGCGAGUGAAGCGGCAACAGCUCAAAUUUGAAAUCUGGCUCCUUCGGCGUCCGAGUUGUAAUUUGUAGAGGGCGCUUCGGCUUUCGGAGCGGUCUAAGUUCCUUGGAACAGGACGUCACAGAGGGUGAGAAUCCCGUACGUGGCCGCUCUCUCUGCCAUGUAAAGCCCCUUCGACGAGUCGAGUUGUUUGGGAAUGCAGCUCUAAAUGGGAGGUAAAUUUCUUCUAAAGCUAAAUAUCUGCCAGAGACCGAUAGCGCACAAGUAGAGUGAUCGAAAGAUGAAAAGCACUUUGGAAAGAGAGUUAAAAAGUACGUGAAAUUGUUGAAAGGGAAGCGCUUGCGACCAGACUUGACCGCGGAUGCUCAGCCGGCCCUCCGGCCGGUGUACUCUUCCGCGGUCAGGCCAGCAUCAGUUUGGGCGGCCGGAUAAAGGCCUCGGGAAUGUGGCUCCCCUCGGGGAGUGUUAUAGCCCGGGGUGCAAUGCGGCCCGCCCGGACUGAGGACCGCGCUUCGGCUAGGAUGCUGGCGUAAUGGUCGU